rnacentral:rRNA from 1 species
UACGUAGGGUGCGAGCGUUAAUCGGAAUUACUGGGCGUAAAGCGUGCGCAGGCGGUCUGUUAAGACCGAUGUGAAAUCCCCGGGCUUAACCUGGGAACUGCGCUUGUGACUGCAAGACUCGAGUACGGCAGAGGGGGGUAGAAUUCCACGUGUAGCAGUGAAAUGCGUAGAGAUGUGGAGGAAUACCGAUGGCGAAGGCAGCCCCCUGGGCCAAUACUGACGCUCAUGCACGAAAGCGUGGGGAGCAAACAGG